GGUGGAUAAAAACCAUCUGCUAAAUGAUUGAUACAGAGACGAUUAGCAUGGCCCCUGCAAAAAGAUGACACGCAAAUCCGUGAACACUCCAUCUUG
rnacentral:snRNA from 1 species